GUCAGCGUGGCAUAGUGGUUUGAGCAUCGGACUAGGACUCUGGAGACCAGGGUCUGAAUCCUAGCUCAGCCA
rnacentral:tRNA from 1 species